rnacentral:rRNA from 1 species
GAGUUUGAUCUUGGCUCAGGACGAACGCUGGCGGCGUGCUUAACACAUGCAAGUCGAACGGUGAUGACGGGGCUUGCUCUGUCUGAUCAGUGGCGAACGGGUGAGUAACACGUGAGUAACCUGCCCCCGACUCUGGAAUAACCGUGGGAAACGACGGCUAAUACCGGAUAUGAGACGCAUGGGCAUCUGUGUGUCUGGAAAGAUUUAUCGGUCAGGGAUGGGACUCGCGGCCUAUCAGCUUGUUGGUGGGGUAAUGGCCCGACCAAGGCGACGACGGGUAGCCGGCCUGAGAGGGCGACCGGCCACACUGGGACUGAGAUACGGCCCAGACUCCUACGGGAGGCAGCAGUGGGGAAUAUUGCACAAUGGGCGCAAGCCUGAUGCAGCGACGCCGCGUGAGGGAUGGAGGCCUU